rnacentral:tRNA from 1 species
GCUGUCACGCCGGUACGAACGGAUUACUUUGAUGAAGUAAAAAAUGAGAUAUAUUCUCUGACAUC